rnacentral:rRNA from 1 species
UACGUAGGGGGCUAGCGUUGUCCGGAAUCAUUGGGCGUAAAGCGCGCGUAGGCGGCCCUAUUAGUCCGCUGUAAAAGUCAAAGGCUCAACCUUUGAAUGCCGGUGGAUACUGCAGGGCUAGAGUCCGGAAGAGGCGAGUGGAAUUCCUGGUGUAGCGGUGAAAUGCGCAGAUAUCAGGAGGAACACCAACGGCGAAGGCAGCUGGCUGGGACGGUACUGACGCUAAGGCGCGAAAGCGUGGGGAGCGAUCAGG